UACGUAGGGUGCAAGCGUUGUCCGGAAUUAUUGGGCGUAAAGAGCUCGUAGGCGGUUCGUCGCGUCGGCUGUGAAAACCCGGAGCUCAACUCCGGGCCUGCAGUCGAUACUGGCGGACUGGAGUGUUGCAGGGGAGACUGGAAUUCCUGGUGUACCGGUGAAAUGCGCAGAUAUCAGGAGGAACACCGGUGGCGAAGGCGGGUCUCUGGGCAACUACUGACGCUGAGGAGCGAAAGCGUGGGGAGCGAACAGG
rnacentral:rRNA from 1 species